AAACCCUCACCCCUGCGAUGUAACAAUCGCAGCGCGGUGGACUUGGACUGUGCCGUAACCGGCUCGUCUUGAAAUGCAUUAGCUGGCGCUUUUAGAGUGCUGGGCGACGGUGUGAUAAUUAUCUGCGCCAAUGCCCUGGGCCUCUUCAGCGGUGCCGCUUACAGCCGUCCCUCCGUGGACAACUUAUUUUAAAG
rnacentral:misc_RNA from 1 species